CUCUGUGACUCCUACGGGAGGCAGCAGUGGGGAAUAUUGCACAAUGGGCGCAAGCCUGAUGCAGCAACGCCGUGUGAGUGAAGAAGGUUUUCGGAUCGUAAAACUCUGUCCCUAAGGGAAGAAACAAAUGACGGUACCUUAGGAGGAAGCCCCGGCUAACUACGUGCCAGCAGCCGCGGUAAUACGUAGGGGGCAAGCGUUAUCCGGAAUCACUGGGCGUAAAGGGUGCGUAGGCGGCUUAGCAAGCCAGGGGUGAAAGGCAUUGGCUCAACCAAUGUAAGCCUUUGGAACUGUUAAGCUUGAGUGCAGGAGAGGUAAGUGGAAUUCCUAGUGUAGAGGUGAAAUUCGUAGAUAUUAGGAGGAACACCAGUGGCGAAGGCGACUUACUGGACUGUAACUGACGCUGAUGCACGAAAGCGUGGGUAGCGAACAGGAUUAGAUACCCUGGUAG
rnacentral:rRNA from 1 species